rnacentral:rRNA from 1 species
AUGAACGCUAGCGGCAGGCUUAAUACAUGCAAGUUGAGGGGCAGCAUGAUAUACGCGAGUAUAUUGAUGGCGACCGGGCGGACGGGUGAGUAAUAGGUAGGAGACCUACCUCAUACAGGGGGAUAGCAUAGAGAAAUCUGUGGUAAUACCCCAUGAGGUUAUAUGAAUAGAGGCAUAUAAUCAAAGCAUAAGCGAUUAUGCGGUAUGAGAGGGGCCUACUGACCAUUAGCUAGUUGGUGAGGUAAGGGCUCACCAAGGCGAAGAUGGUUAGGGGUUUUGAGAGAGAGACCCCCCACAUUGGAACUGAGAGACGGUCCAGACUCCUACGGGAGGCAGCAGUAGGGAAUAUUGGGCAAUGGGCGAAAGCCUGACCCAGCCAUGCCGCGUGAAGGAAGACGGCCUUAUGGGUUGUAAACUUCUUUACUACGCGAAUAGAGGUUAGUACGAGAUACUAAUAGGAAGGUAGUGUAGUAAAAAGCACCGGCUAACUCCGUG